rnacentral:rRNA from 1 species
UGGCCUACGGGACGCAGCAGUGGGGAAUAUUGCACAAUGGGGGAAACCCUGAUGCAGCGACGCCGCGUGAGUGAAGAAGUAUUUCGGUAUGUAAAGCUCUAUCAGCAGGGAAGAAAAAAGACGGUACCCGACUAAGAAGCCCCGGCUAACUACGUGCCAGCAGCCGCGGUAAUACGUAGGGGGCAAGCGUUAUCCGGAUUUACUGGGUGUAAAGGGAGCGCAGGCGGCGCGGUAAGUCUGAUGUGAA